rnacentral:misc_RNA from 1 species
GAUGAAGAACGUAGCGAAAUGCGAUAAGUAGUGUGAAUUGCAGAAUUCAGUGAAUCAUCGAAUCUUUGAACGCACAUUGCGCCCUUUGGUAUUCCUUAGGGCAUGCCUGUUCGAGCGUCAUUUAAACCUUCAAGCUAAGCUUGGUGUUGGGUGACUGUCCGCUUCACUGCGGACUCGCCUCAAAAUUAUUGGCGGCCGGUACAUUGGCUUCGAGCGCAGCAGAAACGCGAACUCGGGCCCGUCGUAUUGGCUCCCAGAAGCUAUCUUCACAAUUUUGACCUCGGAUCAGGUAGGGAUACCCGCUGAACUUAAGCAUAUCAAUAAGCGGGA